GGUGGCUCAGUGGUAGAGUGCUUGCCUUGCAUGCAUGAGGCCCUGGGUCUGAUUUCUCAGCACCA
rnacentral:tRNA from 1 species